rnacentral:lncRNA from 1 species
AAGUCUAGCUUGGAGCAGAGCACAGCCCUCACCCCUACCCAGGCCCUGGGACUGACCAGGACAGGAGCAACUUCUGCCUUCCGAGGGGAGGAGGAAGCCAGGCCCACUGGUCGCUCUGACUCCUCUGUCCCCAAGGCCACAUCCAGCCUGAAAGCCCGAGCCGGCAAAAUGGAGGUGCCACACCGUCCCUCUGGCCACAUGUCCCUAGAACGGUGUGAGGGCCUGACACACGGCAGCAGCAAAGUCAGAGAUGUUGCAGGACGGCCACCAAGGGCUGUGCCCAGGUUGGGCGUACCCCCCGCCAGCCCUCCACUUGGACCAGGUCCUGCCUGUAGGAGCAGCCCAGCCAAGGGCAUUGGAGCAACCAAGCCUCCGGCUGGUGGAGCUAAGAGUCGUAAUCUGGGGCCUAGUACCUCUCGGGCUCUGGGUGCUCCGGUAAAGCCACUGGCACCUGUGGUAGGCAAGACAACUGGUGGGGCUGUGCCAGGACCCAGAACUGCUCCACGGUCUGUGCCCGGUAUUGGGGCUAAGGCAGGCCGGGGUACCAUCAUGGGCACUAAGCAGGCAUUCCGGGCUGCCCAUAGCCGUGUCCACGAAUUGGCAGCCAGUGGAUCUCCUGGUAGAGGUGGCCUCACCUGGGGCUCGACUGACUCGGACAGUGGCAAUGACAGUGGUGUAAACCUGGCUGAGGAGCGGCAGCCCUCGAGCCCCGCCCUACCCUCCCCCUAUAGCAAAGUGACUGCACCG